GCUGCCGCAGUAGUAGGUACCGUGCGGUCGCUCGGGCCGCGGCCACCGCGGUCGUGGUUAACGAUCGUCCCGCCGCACGCGCGUUGUUACCGCGGCAUCUCCUGUCGGGUGUCCGCCGACGCGCAACUGUCGUCGUCGCGGAGUUCCGUGUCCGGAGAGCGAAAAACCGAUUCGACCGCGCUGGACGCGUCGCGGGAUCGACAAACUCCGGUAACGAGUCGUGCAGUUCGACGGCGGUAGCAACGCGAACGUCCGACCGCGUGGUUCUUGACCAGUCAUUAAUCCGUCGUCAUACCGUACAAAAAAAUGUUACAUUACAUUAUUUGAUCUAACGAACGAUACAAACAGCAGGAAUACGUUCCCCAGGUCCACGGUUCUACGGUGGUACACGUAACCCAAACGACGUGCUGGAAAGAAUUACUAUGUACCGGAGUUUGACAAUCAGCGUCGCUGUGGCUGCAACGGUUAGCACUUGAACAUUGCUACGAAUAACACAAUACCUUUGAACAAAUCGAUUCAACAGUAAACCGACACGGCAAAACCCGUAAUAAUUGUACAGGAACGGAAAAACACUGCGAGGCCAGUCACCGGAAACCUUCGUCGAUUUCCUCUGACGUUCAAACGAAAGCAAAUAUCUACCGACACUACCCCGUACGAAUCCCGGACGCGUGCACAUAUUAUUUCUUCUUACUUUGAUUGGUCGCCAAACACGAGCGUCGAUCGUAUUUCAAGCCGCGUACCAUCGUUUACGCCGAGAACAAAUUGCAUAUGCAUUGUACAACGGCGCACGUGUGCAAGUGAUUCCACAACGAUUUCACACGUUGGCAACAAAACCCCAGUUCUACACGAGUUCGUCAACGUAUACACGAGUAUGUAUAAACGUGCGCGCGUGUGCGAAGUAUCGACUUACACGUUGCACUCGACGUACUCAUAUACUCGGCAAUCAUGCGAGAGGUGAAAAUUGGAUUUGCAACGCGAUUAAACGGCCGAGGGUUGUGCCGCCGCCAAACUUACCCCGUUUGAUUCAAGGGAGUACACGUAUACACGAAUGAAAUCGCCCACGGACUUGAUAUUGUAACGCAUAUCGAAUUAUAACUCGGAUGGCGAUGAUUACUAUUAACAGCGAAUGGAGUUCAGAAUGAUUGCAAGAAUAUAUUAUAUAAUCAUCUGUGAAAUAUUAUUAUUGCAAAAAUUGCCUUGAACGAUAUAAUUUUUAGUUUUUUUCGCUAGAAAGAAUAUAAAUGCUUUAUACAUUA